AUGCAGCUCUGGCUGCUCGAGGGCGCCGUGGAGGCCAUUGGAGACAAGGUGAUUGUCGACCGCCUCGACAGCCGGACCUUUGAGCGCGCCGACACCAAGCUUUUCGUGUGCUGGGUCUGGGUCUGGAGCCUCUCCUUCAUCCCGACCAAGCGCACGAUCUGGAAGCAUGCGAGGGGGGCGGGCCGCGUGGAGGAGAUGCAAGGCUACUCUCCACUGAGCCGCGCGGUCGCUCCCCCGCCGGAGCUGCGGCAGUACGACCUGCUGCUGCAUGUCGACCGUGUUGAAGACUGGACGCCGCUCUCGCCGCGCUCCUCGCACUCGCCGCAGAGCGGCCUCCCCUCCGACGACGAUGAUGAGGAUGACCGCCCAUACCCCCGCAUCGACCCCGGGGUCUGGACCGUGCGCGUCGAGGAUGGGCGGCCCGCGCAGGCCCUGGCGCCCCUGCUGCACCCGCCGCCGCGCGUCGCCUCCUCUGGCUGCAAGGGGAUGCCGUCGGGUGGCGCACUCAGAGGACACGACAGAGAUGACCCGGGCUACCACCGGCGCUCAUGGAAGGACACGCUGCUGAGGAGGGGGCGCGCGGGCGACCACGGCAAGACGUCCGCGGCCAGUACCAGGCACCGCAGUCGCACCCCGGUGUCGAGGCACCGCCAUUGUGCACCUGGGGACUGGCAGCUCGACGUCGGUGCAUGCAAACAGCCUGCCCAAGAGCGCGCCCCUGGCGGAUCGAGGGGCAAGAGCAGGGAGGACGCCCGCCCAUCGGCCUCCCGGGGCAAGGAGCCUGCCAAGGAGAGGUUGCUGCCGCCGGGGCAGGGGGGCGCCUGUGUUCCUUCUCACCCCGCCACGCAAGCUGCACCGUGA
rnacentral:rRNA from 1 species